AGAUUCAGGAGAGACUGGGAGUUAUAUCCACCAAUGUGUUCCAGACACCCAGUCUGCACUGCAGCUGCUGUCAUCACACUGAACCUCAUAGGGAAUGAACUACACCCAGAAAGAGAGAAGCAGACCAGGCUUGUGUUAGUCCCGGCCUCCUUCCUCCAACCCUUAUGUGUUUGCAGGUCUGGUGUGUUGAAUAUGGCAAUGACUCCACCAAGCCUUAGAACUUCCUUCUGCCAUAUCGCUUAUCCCAUCAUUGGGUUUCUUCAGAUUUGGAAACACAGAAAGGGGAAAGCCUAGGGUAAGGAGCUAGGAUUAAAGGUACCAGGGUAAGGAGCUAGGAUUAAAGGUACCAGGGUAAGGAGCUAGGAUUAAAGGUACCAGGGUAAGGAGCUAGGAUUAAAGGUACCAGGGUAAGGUGCUAGGAUUAAAGGUACCAGGGUAAGGAGCUAGGAUUAAAGGGACCAGGGUAAUGAGCUAGGAUUAAAGGUACCAGGGUAAGGAGCUAGGAUUAAAGGUACCAGGGUAAGGAGCUAGGAUUAAAGGGACCAGGGUAAGGAGCUAGGAUUAAAGGGACCAGGGUAAGGAGCUAGGAUUAAAGGGACCAGGGUAAGGAGCUAGGAUUAAAGGGACCAGGGUAAGGAGCUAGGAUUAAAGGGACCAGGGUAAGGAGCUAGGAUUAAAGGGACCAGGGUAAGGAGCUAGGAUUAAAGGGACCAGGGUAAGGAGCUAGGAUUAAAGGGACCAG